ACGCUCGACACCUACGUGAGGCAGCAGGUGGGGAAUAUUGCACAAGUGGGGGAAACCCUGAUGCAGCGACGCCGCGUGAGCGAAGAAGUAUUUCGGUAUGUAAAGCUCUAUCAGCAGGGAAGAAACUGACGGUACCUGACUAAGAAGCACCGGCUAAAUACGUACCAGCAGCCGCGGUAAUCUGAGCGGGCUGGCAAGGC
rnacentral:rRNA from 1 species